CUGAGCUUGGCACGCACUGGGUGAUCAGCAAGGCAGAUCUGUGGGCAGUGGAACAGAUCAAGUCACCAGCAAGGGACUGGUGACAGAAGACAGAGUGGCUUUGUGUUGUACAUGCCUUCAGAGACAGAGGGGGGGCCCCUUGCAGACAUGUAAGUGGGAGCCCGGGGGAGUGUUCCUGCCCUCCAUUAGCCCACGUUGCACUGCCCACGACCGGGAGGGCUCCCCACAAAUGUCCCUCCUUGGUCCUCCUGUACCUUUCUCUUCAACUCCCUGCCCUUCUCUCUUCCAGGGGCCCGAAGCAUUCAGGGAGGUUGGCUGGGAAUUGAGGGGAGGUUUAGAAAGACACACCAGGGAGGCACGUGACUGUUCUUCCCAGACUGGCAUUUCGCGGACGCUGGCCCUAGGAGGCCAUGGGCAGAGGCGGCACCAUGGGAUUGGAUCAUGUCCUGGAAGAGUCCGCCCUGGCUGUCCAUCCCAAAGGGCCGAGCAGAGCUGCAGAACUCAGGAGCCUCAGGAGCCCCUGGACCAGAGAGACCCAGCCAGAGUGGAAGGAAAGAGACCCCCGCAGUCCAGCCGUGUGUUGUUCCUAGCUAAGUGAUCUGGACGAGUGCCAGACGCAGCGCUGCUUUGGGGGGAAGCAGGAAAGGCCACGAACUAAAUGCUGCUGUUUGCAAAAAGCUUGCUGUGACCUGCCGUGUGGGUGCUGGCUGAGUGUAGACUGAGUUCUGACACUGGGGUGAAGCCAGCCAGGCCCUGGCAGUUGGGUCCUCAGAUGCUCCAGCCCUGAGCGGAAGGCUGGGAAGUAUUAUGGCCGUGCGUCACCUGCACACAACGUGGAGAUUGGCUACCUAAUUAAUAGCUGUGUUUCGGGAACACUGCCCCUGGAAAGGGUGUACCGAAUCCAGGCCCCGCUGAAGGUUUGGAUGGCAUGCUUCUUCUAUCCCUGAAAUAAGCAAUUGGAUUCAACAUGCCUGAAUCUCAGAACCAGCUUGGGCAGAGAAAAGCCAUUAUCUUCAGGAAGGCUGCAGGUGCAGAUGUGGGCUCGGGCAGGCAGAGCUGGACCCAGCCGGGAGAGGAGACGGUUAACACAAAAUCCAUAUGGAGACCUGACGAGGUGUUCCAGCUGUUGUAGGUUGGCAGAGAUUCACAGCCAGCAAUGAGCGAGGAAGUUUGGGGCCCUGGUGGGGCUCCUCUGGAAGGGUAAUGACGUCCCUGCUCAGCUUGGGGUUUUACGUGCAUCUGUUCGAUGGGAUGCGUGGGCACUGCCGUUGCCAAGCUGGAAAACAGUAACCCAGGCUGAAAACGUAAUAGAACGCACCCUAGGAGAGAGGGUGAUGGCUGGGUGUGAGACCAACGGGGUUUUGCAACGGAGGAGAGGAGAGGGGAGCGCGUUGGAGACGGGAGAAUGGAUGAUCAACGGCACAUUAACGUAUGCGCCAAGCUGAGGUCGCUGUUCGGGAGUCCUUGGAAGCUGCCCAACCGUGGCUCCCACUGACAAGCCCCUCUGCCCCCCCUGCCACACUGGGGGGGGGUGGGAUGGGGAGGCUGGGUUUGGGGGGGAACUGCUGGCUCUGAGCGCGCUCCGCCCACGCACCAGGGCAGGCACCUGGCCCCGUGGCUCCCCCCCACCUUCAGUAACAGAGGCAGCUGCGGUGACCGUCGUUUCUCAGGGACUGCUCACACGGUGAUGUUAUUUCAUAAACAUAGCGGCCCUCGCGGGCUUUUAGGGUAGGCCGCAACGUUCUUGCCCCAAAUGGGCCCUACUGGGGAGCACAUCAUGUCCUCUGGAGCGUUUCCUGAGGUUGCCAUAACAAAGUACUGCCGAAGGGGUGACUUCAAACAACAGAAAUGUAUUCUGUCGCAGCUCUGGAGGCCGGCAGUCCCAACGUCACGGGCCCGUCCCUUCCGCCCUGCGCUGCUGAGGCCCGUGAUGAAGAAGGGUGUGAACUGGUCCCUGUGAGGAAGGCCCCUCGGUCUCCGUCGGUGGGCUUUCUUGUUUGAGGAAGGGGAGACGGGAGAAUGGCUCACAGCGAUGCAGGGCCUCAGUGAGGGGGCGGCCUGGCUGUCUCAGUCCCGGGCCCCUGGACGCUUUCCUCCAGGUCUUGAGGUUGACUUCGCAUGACAGUCACUGAGUGUGUGCCCUGCGGAGGGGUUUCCAGAGUCUUGUCUCAGCGUCUGUCACAGGUAAUGGCACCCAGGUGUGCUUGGGCCGGCUCUGUGGGCUGGGCUUCUCGAGCAGCUUUCCUCCUACAACGGUUGCCCCACUUGACAGAUGAGAAAACCAAGGCCCAGGGAGCUCAGGAAGUUUGCUCCAGCUCAGUGGCAGAGCUAGUAAGUAGGCGAGCCAGGAUGCAGCAGCCCCAGGUGGUCAGCCCCUGAGCCCACUCUCCUCCCCUCCCCUCACACAGCCUCCAGCAAGGUGCAGGCGACUCUAGCGAGUGGAUGUGCACCUGUGAGUGUGUCUGUGAGUGUGCAUUUGCAAGUGUCUGUG